AUUGAACGCUGGCGGCAUGCUUUACACAUGCAAGUCGAACGGUAACAGGCCUUCGGGUGCUGACGAGUGGCGAACGGGUGAGUAAUGCAUCGGAACGUACCCAGAGGUGGGGGAUAACGCAGCGAAAGCUGUGCUAAUACCGCAUGUGAUCUGAGGAUGAAAGCGGGGGACCGAGCAGCAAUGUUUGGCCUCGCGCCUUUGGAGCGGCCGAUGUCGGAUUAGCUAGUUGGUGGGGUAAAGGCCUACCAAGGCGACGAUCCGUAGCUGGUCUGAGAGGACGACCAGCCACACUGGGACUGAGACACGGCCCAGACUCCUACGGGAGGCAGCAGUGGGGAAUUUUGGACAAUGGGCGCAAACCUGAUCCAGCAAUGCCGCGUGCGGGAAGAAGGCCUUCGGGUUGUAAACCGCUUUUGGCAGGAACGAAACGGUGUCCGCUAAUACCGGGCGCUAAUGACGGUACCUGCAGAAUAAGCACCGGCUAACUACGUG
rnacentral:rRNA from 1 species